rnacentral:misc_RNA from 1 species
AAAGUCGUAACAAGGUUUCCGUAGGUGAACCUGCGGAAGGAUCAUUAAUUAACACGUAUCCAACAUCCGCUCGUAACCCAUCUUGUGUCGGGAUGUCAGUCGGAACAACUGGAUCUGGGGAGUUGGGCGGUUUGGGGAGAACCUUGCGAAAGGUUUGGAAGGCGGGGACCAUUCCUGGUUGCGAUAUAAACGUGGUCUCCACGCGACUUGUAGUACCCGUUGUCCGGAACCGUACACUUGCCGCCACGAUUUGGGCUGCGCUGCUUGUUUUCCUUAACCAAAAGCACCCGCUCGGGGCCUGAGAACCUCCAGAGCUGGAAUACCCGAACAACUGUUAACAAUGGAUAUCUUGGCUCUC